UACGUAGGGGGCAAGCGUUGUCCGGAAUCAUUGGGCGUAAAGCGCGUGUAGGCGGCUCGAUAAGUCUGCUGUGAAAGUUCAGGGCUCAACCCUGAAAUGCCGGUGGAAACUGUCGGGCUAGAGUCCGGAAGAGGCGAGUGGAAUUCCUGGUGUAGCGGUGAAAUGCGCAGAUAUCGGGAGGAACACCAGUAGCGAAGGCGGCACUCUGG
rnacentral:rRNA from 1 species